GUCCCUUCGGGGACAUCCGAUAAAAUUGAAACGAUACAUAGAAGAUUCGCAUGGCUCCUGCGCAAGGAUGACACGCACAAAUAGAGAAAUAGUCCAAUUUAUU